GACGAACGCUGGCGGCGUGCUUAACACAUGCAAGUCGAACGGAAAGGCCCUGCUUUUGUGGGGUGCUCGAGUGGCGAACGGGUGAGUAACACUUGAGUAACCUGCCCUUGACUUUGGGAUAACUUCAGGAAACUGGGGCUAAUACCGGAUAGGAGCUCCUGCUGCAUGGUGGGGGUUGGAAAGUUUCGGCGGUUGGGGAUGGACUCGCGGCUUAUCAGCUUGUUGGUGGGGUAGUGGCUUACCAAGGCUUUGACGGGUAGCCGGCCUGAGAGGGUGACCGGCCACAUUGGGACUGAGAGACGGCCGAGACUGAUACGGGAGGCAGGAGUGGGGAAGAUUGCACAAAGGGCGGAAGACUGAUGCAGCGACGCAGCGUGAGGGAUGACGGCCGUCGGGUGGUAAACAGAUUUCAGUAGGGAAGAAGCGAAAGUGACGGUACCGGCAGAAGAAGCACCGGCUAACUACGU
rnacentral:rRNA from 1 species